CAUCCUUUGACGGCGGACCAGGUCUGCGUGUCCCUCAUCGCUGUUGGCACGUAGCUUUGGUUUGUAUCCAAUACUACAUAUGCUCUAUUUAUGGAAUGUAGAAAAUGAGGAAAAAAACCAACCUUGUUCUUAAGUGGUCAUGUACGGAUGUGAGAGUUGGACUGUGAAGAAAGCUGAGCACUGAAGAAUUGAUGCUUUUGAACUGUGGUGUUGGAGAAGAAUCUUGAGAGUCCCUUGGACUUCAAGGAGAUCCAACCAGUCCAUUCUAAAGGAGAUCAGCCCUGGGUGUUCUUUUGGAAGGAAUGAUGCCAAGACUGAAACUCCAGUACUUUGGCCACCUCAUGUGAAGAGUUGACUCAUUGGAAAACACUC
ensembl:lncRNA